UACGGGGGGGGCAAGCGUUGUUCGGAAUUACUGGGCGUAAAGGGCUCGUAGGCGGCCAACUAAGUCGGACGUGAAAUCCCUCGGCUUAACCGGGGAACUGCGUCCGAUACUGGAUGGCUUGAGUUUGGGAGAGGGAUGCGGAAUUCCAGGUGUAGCGGUGAAAUGCGUAGAUAUCUGGAGGAACACCGGUGGCGAAGGCGGCAUCCUGGACCAACACUGACGCUGAGGCACGAAGGCCAGGGGAGCAAACGGG
rnacentral:rRNA from 1 species